UAAGUGUCCUAAAGGGUUGUUCGAGACUAGAACGUUGAUAGGCAGGGUGUGUAAGUGCUGUGAGGCAUUGAGCUAACCUGUACUAAUUGCCCGUGAGGCUUAACCAUACAACACCCAAGGGGUUU
rnacentral:rRNA from 1 species